rnacentral:lncRNA from 1 species
AUAGGAGUAACUUCUGUACUUAAAAAUGUCAUCAAAUCAGGAGUCUGUUUUCAGCAUUUAAACAUCAAAAUAAUGAUACCCUUCAAUAAUGUAAUUGAACAUAUAGGCUACAAUUAGGUUUAUGCAUUCCCCAUGCAUGAAGAAAAUAAGGUUGCAUCCCAGGAGCUCUACAAGAGUGUUAUAGAGUGAUGAAUGCAGCCAAGGAAAACAUGAAGAAAAGAAAGUGGAAAAUAAUAAAGGUAAGACAAAUAAAUUAAUUCUUUCAGUUUACAUAUUAAACUGUUAGUGAGCCGACAAGAAAAGUUAUUUAGGAAAAUUAUUAUUUUAGUUAUUGCAUUUAAUACUGCUAUACCACGUGCAGCUCAAAAAACAAAAAACAAAAAAAUAGCCACAUUGGGAGAUAGGCUACAAGCAAGUGUCGAUCAAAUGAGCACAUGAUCGAAUGACAUCACUUUAGGGCACACAGCAUGUAUCCAUGGCAACGCUAACGGUUCUCAUGACAGUUAACGGUUCUCCUGGUGAUUUCCUUGAGUUUUCGCUUUCGUUGGUCAAAAAGGAUACUGAGGGUUUGUAAGCAGAUACCGGAAGAGAGAACACUGAUGCCAACAUAGGAAAACCAUAUUUCCUCUGUCCUGCUGAGCAAACAGGCCCGAAAACAUGUCCCCCAAUGCUUGAAGUAGCUUCCCCAGAAAUCUGAGGGAAGCAGUGCAUUUACAGCAGUGACGUUUCAAAAAAAAGAGGCCGCUGAGGCAUCUGGCCGGUGGAACUCAUGUACCCGUAGAUGCGCAACGACCCUGCAAAACGAGGAGAAACAGAGGUUACGGUGAUGGAGCGGUCAGGGCACAGCAUCUGUUUGUAACUCAUAAAUCAUCAGUUCAUUUCAUGCAGGCUGUUAUCAUGAUUUGCUGUUGUAGUUUUCUCUGUACAGAUGACAAAAGAAGCUGCUCAAUGAAAUCGGGUCAGCCUAAAUUUAAGAGGGGCGUGGAGAACUCAGAGUUAACAAGUUAACCGUAACCUGAGGUCUGCUAUGAACUCAACACCCAGUGUGCCAAACAAUAAAUUCAAGGCUUAUAUAAAAACCUUAAUUGCCGUAUUUAAAACCAAGUUUUACUUUGCAUGGUCAAGGUAAAUUAGGUCACCCACUGUACUGUAUUGUACUUUAUGAUGACACAUAAUCUCUUGAAAAUGAAUAUAGCCUUUUUCCUGUAUUCUCAUGUGGCAGGAGGAACAACAUAAUCUCAUUUAAAGGGAUAGUUCAACUAAAAAUGGAAAUUCUGCCAGAAUUUAUUCAACCUCAUAAUGUUCCAAACCUGACAUUUAAUUUAUGCCAUAUUUGAACGUACAUGAAUACAAAUCAAGAGCAAUGAAUGUAACAUUUUUGCGUGAAUAACUUUUAGUUGAUUCAUCACAAACAGCUGCAUAAGUAAUACAGAGUAUUUUUGGUGCUUUUUGUCCUUUUUAUAACUCAACAGCAUCCGUCCAUUCACAUUCGUUAUGCAGGAAAGAGUACAAAAAGGACUACAAAAGGGUGCACUGAGGCUGUUUUAUUUUUCAAUGCCAAUGUCAAAGAAGGAGAAGCUUCAUAUUUAGGUCUAAAUUAAGGAUUUCUAUUUGUUGCAUUUAAAAUUUCAAUCAAUUUGGAUUACACAGUAACAUAACCAAAGUAAUAAACUUAAUGUAAUGUAUAUGUCAGACAUACAUAAAUGAAGUCAGUAAUAAACAGGUAAAAUUAAUCUAAUAGAAC